rnacentral:rRNA from 1 species
GAUGAACGCUGACAGAAUGCUUAACACAUGCAAGUCGAUGGGGAAGUGGUGCUUGCACCAUGGUAACCAUGGCGGACGGGUGAGUAACGCGUAAGGAACUUGCCUGCGGGACUGGGAUAACAGCAGGACACUGCUGAUAAUACCGGAUAAGUUCAUUAAGCUGCAUAGCUUAGUGAUGAAAGGAGACGCCUGCGGGGAGCCUUGCGUCCUAUUAGCUAGUUGGAGGGGUAACGGCCCGCCAAGGCGAAGAUAGGUAGCCGGCCUGAGAGGGUGGACGGCCACAAGGGGACUGAGAUACGGCGCGUACUCCUACGGGAGGCAGCAGUGGGGAAUAUUGGACAAUGGGGGCAACCCUGAUCCAGCAAUUCUGUGGGCAAGAAGACGGGUUUCGGAUUGUAAAGUGCUUGCAGCAGGGAAGAAGGAAGGGACGGUACCUGCAGAAGAAGCGACGGCUAAAUACGU